CCGGACCCCUUUCUCGCACUCCCAGAGUCCCUGCCUGGUGUUAAGCCUCGCUGGCCCUGGGUGCUGGCCGUUGGGUCGGGACCUUCUUUCCACACCCUGGCUCCCCUGGUCCCCACUGAUGUCCCCUCACAGCUCCCCAGGUAGCUGCCCAUCCUUGAACCCCACCUCGGUGUCUGCUUCUGGGGAGCCUGAGAUACGACGAGGCCCAGGAGGAGGCUGGGAAACCCCUGGGGACAUGUGGCCAGAGCCUAACAACAGAGGGGUCUCCCGGCCAGGCUGCAAGGACCCGGGGUGGGGGCGGCAGGGGAAGGGACCAGCCACUGUGGGAAGCGUCAACAGGACCAGGAAACAGCGGCACCCUGUCUCCAAAGUAAGUUUUUAAAAGGGGAAUGUAGCUUAGUGUGAAGGCCCUGGUUCAGGGCCCAGUGCCACAACCCAAUGAGUCUUAAAUAACAGCACUAGGGGCCAGGGACACAGCUCAGUGGCAUAAGCACUUGCCUGGCAAACACAAGGUUGUGAGUUUGAUUCCCGGUAGCAAUAAGUAAGCACAUAAAUUAAAUUUAAAAAUACAAUGUUAGGUAGGCAUUAAAGAACAUGUCUUGUAUGAUUCUGUUUGUAUGAAAGAAAAUCCACAGAGCUCAGAUCAGUGUUGUCAGGGGCUGGAAUCGAAAGAGACUAGACAGGCACUGUUUAAUGGGUUUGGGGUUGGUUUUUUUUUUUCAACGAAUAUUAUACCUCAGAUUAAAGAGGAGCAGCCCCAAAGCAGGUGUUAAAUGACAACCUAGUGGCUGCUGUUCAGCUGCAUCCAGCCCUGGGAAGGUGAGUCCUGCCGGCAGGAAUCCUUUGGGAGCUACACCUGGCCAGCCUGUUAGCUGAUCAGGCUCCUUCCUUAAAACGCUCUGCUGCCACCUGCUGGAAACCCGUCCUGAUAACAAGACACACCUACACAUGAAAGGCUGCUACCUUCCGUUUGGCCGACUUGUGCAAUGCACAGCCUGCUCAGCUGUACAUGGUGUGAUGUUAGGUUCUCUUUCUAUGUACCAGGACGAGGACCUCAGCUGAGUUCGCUAGUCCAAAUGUGGUCGAUGGUGGGCUGCGUGAGCACAGUGUGAGAAUCAGCAAUGCGGUCUCAGCUGGCUCUGCCCAGCCCUCCUGCAUCAGAGCCUGGAUGUUUAACAAGGUCCCCAGGUGCAUGGCCAUUAGGUUUACGGGUGCUGCCCUCCAAGUGCGGGCUGCACGUUGGAGUCGGCUGGGGAGGCUGUAAACGUGCCGACCGCGGGGCUCGGUGGGUCUGACAAAGGUGCAGCCGGAAAUGCAGAGUCGGGGGAGCAGCCGUGUCCACAGCAGACUCAUCGGACGCAGCGCACAGGGCUCUCCCUGGACUCUACUUCCCCAAGGUCGCCAGGGACGCUGAACUCUUUCACCGCUUGGAGAAGCCUGACCUCAGAGCUGGCCGUCUUAACAAACAUUACGAAUUUCAAGACAGCAGCAUCGGGACUGUGACCUAAAUCCGCGUCCCUGUGAGCAGAGUGUGAGAGCCCAGGGCUUAGGCGCAGGAAGUUGUGGGCCACCGAGCCCACCCCUGGGGAGUAGGCAGGGAUCCACACACAGACAGCUGCUCCCGAACAAAACCAGCCCCGGGGGCUUUGGGAUCCAGCACAGACCAGAUGGAAGGGGCUGCUUCCCUCUAAGGAGGACUGCACAGCCGCGGGGCCCACUAGAAUGUUCCAGGAGCCACAUUUGGAAUCCUGAAGAGAAACAGGCAGAAGUUAUCUGAGUGAUGGGUUGUGUCGUGGCCUAACCUAGCAACAGGGUCAUCAUUUCAGUGUGUGAGCAGUGUGAGAAGAUAAUGAGCCCUUUCCACCGGUUCCCCACAGCAGCCCUUGGAGAUCAGGGAAUCAAACUCAGGACCUCACACCUGCCAGGCAGGCGCUUAUGCCGCUGAGCUAAAUCCCCAGCCCCAAGUUCUGUAAAGCAAGAGCCAGGCUACUCGGAAGUCACAGCCUUUUACUGGGUGAUGCUGCGGCAGGAGGGUCGCUACAGGUUCAAGGCCAGCCUGGAAUACACAUUGAGACCUCGACUAAAAAACGAACCGAAAGCAAGUGUCUCCCUAUU